UGUCUAAAUGCUCUUUCGGCUUCUCAAUUCAAAACUCCUUUAGAGCAUUUCUAAAAAUUAUCUAAUUUACCUGUUUCUGCUGCUGAACUGGAACCCUUGAAAAUAAUUUGCAGCAUAUUAGCUUCUGUAACACAUUAUCUUUGUCCUUCAUGUCAUAUGGUGGGUGCUUGUGGUACAAAGUAUAUUAAUUUCAAUAUUGUAAGCUCUUUUGGUCUGAAGGAUCACAGACAGCUCCAGAGAACACAGACAAGCAUUUUAACAAGUAUUGUUAUUUUAUCUUGACUAGAAAGAAAUCUUAAUCAACUUCAGUGCCAGACACCAAUCACACUCAAAAGGAUUUGUGGUCUCCAAGUAUGUCUAAAAUUCUGGUUAUCAAGCGAGAUCAGUUUCAUUCAAUUUUAGCUCUCUAAUAAAAGGAAGGGGCUUAGUCUGUAGCAGUUCCUAGAUUUCAUCUUCUCUCAGUGAAGAGAAACAGGCUCUUCCAGAACAUGAUUCAUCCUGUCUGUCCUAGAAACUUGUGCUGGGUCUGUGCAGAAAGUGUCCAGCAUGCUAAGGCUGCUAAGGGUAGAAGAGAUAUACCAUAGAAAGAGUGAGCAGAUGAAAGCACAUUAAAGAAAAGCUAUUUCUACAGAGGCAAAAUUAAGAAAUCAAGGGAGACUACACUGUGCAGCAAUGCUGCUUGAGCUUUCUCACCAGCUUGCACCAUGUGUUACAACUGGCCACAAUCAGACUUCACAGUUACAUCUUUGCAACACUGAUGUACGAUUUCUUUUCAGAACCACUGCCCAACAGGACAGAUUCCCCCAUUCUCAAGCAUUAACUACACUUUUGUUGUCCCACAGAUGCACAGUUUCUCUCAGUCUGUCCUGAAGCACAUGUUCAACACACUUUAAGAGCAAUCAACUCUGCUGUCUUAUUCUUUGUUACUUAUUGCUUUCACACCUUCUUAUUAGAAUCAGAAUUUUGUUGUAAGUCUGGGCCCUAGAUGAACCCUGUGGAACCAGUAAGAACCACCAGCCACUGGUGAUUCCAAAUUUAUUACUACAUUUGGACACUGUGAGUGAAACAGUUUAUCCUGCUCUUACUACGUAUCAUGUACAUAUUCAGUACACUUUAUAUGUGUGUAUUUUUUUUGUUGUGACAUACCAGGUCAUUCUUUUUUUUUUUCUAUUACCUGUAUAGAUUAAACACAAAAUCUCAUCAAAAAAAAAAAAAAAAAAAGAAGAAGAAGAAACAACAUAGUAUGAUUAAAUUUAUUUUCAGUAAACCCCUGUUAGCUAGUAUUAAUUAUAGUCCUCUCUUUUAAUUCUUGACUAAUCAAGUCCUGUAUCAGUCAUUCCAUUAAUUUGCCCAGGAUUGAUAUCAGGCUGUCAGAACUAUAAUUAGCUGGGUCAUACUGUUUGGCUUUGGUGUAAAAACUGGUCACAGUCUUCUAAAGUUGUUAUAACUGGAUUAUGCUCAUUCUCUUCAAUUGAAAAAAAAAUCAUUAGCUAUGUGAUUAUUGCUGCAAAUCAGAAUUUCUUCAAAGCAAUCUUACAAAGCAGAGCGGUAUAGUAUUAAAGUAUCACAUUUACUCUCAAUUUUCUUGUAGCCAAGGGAAGCAAUCAGGAAGGAUGUUCUCCAUGCUUAGACUGACAAGGACUUGGCUCUAGCUUCCCUUCACAGCCUUUCUUAACAUAAUCACUUAUAGCUCUUUGUGAAGCUGUUAAGGCAACCUCAUCAAGUGCAAAGACUUGUCUCCUCAGCCUAAUGAGAGUGGGACCAGUCUCCACAGUCACAUUUCCAAACUGCAAUCCAGAUCUUGCCACAGCUAUGCUUGGCUGACAAGCAGAAAUCAGAAGUUAGUUCAGACUCCUGGUCUUGAGUGGACAAUGCUUACAAUAACAGAAUUGUUAAACCAUUUAGGUUGAAUAAGACCUCUAGGAUCAUCAAGUCCAGCUGUUAACCCAGCAUUGCCAAGUCCACUACUAAAUCAUGUCCCCAAAUAUCUUUUAAGUACCUCCAGGGAUGGUGACUCCACUACUCGCCUGGGCAGCCUCUUCCAAUACCUGACCACCUGUGGUUUAGGAAUGGUACUCCCCAGUUUAGUACUGCCACUGAGACUCUCCAAACCAUGUGCCACUCGCUUGGUCCCCCUUCCUCCCCACCCUGCAGUGGGAGGGGAAGAACUGGAGGAGAGGAGAAUGGAGUAACAAAAGGUAAAGAUCAUGAACUGAGAUAAGAACAAUUUACUGGGAACAGAAAUGAGAUAAGGAAAUAUACAGUAACAGCAGCAAUAUCAAUAAAAGAGUGUACAAGAAAUGAACAAUUCACACGUGAGUUCUCACCCCCGACAACACCCAACUGCUCCCUUCGCCACACUACCUGACCCAGAAGGGACCCCUUCCCCUGUCCCCAGAAAAUUAUGGGAGGUGGUAUAGAAUAACCUCUGAGUCCCAACCAUGCCCUCUCCUGGAUACUGAAAAAAUUAACCCUGUUCUGGCUGUAACCAGGACACCACUCUUCCAGGGUAAACAACCCCAACUCCCUCAGCUGUUCCUCAUAAAACUUGUGCUCCAGACCUUUCACCAGCUUCAUUGCCCUUCUUGUAGUGAGGGGCCCAGAACUGGACACAGGACUGAAGGCAUGGCCUCACCAGUGCUGAGUAAAAGGGAUUACUUCUCUGCUGACCACACUAUUUGUGAUACAAGCCAGGAUGCCACUGGCUGUCCUGGCCAGCUGGGAACACUCUUGCCUUGUGUUCAUGCGGCUGUUGAACUGCACCCCCAGGUUCUUUUCUGCUGGGCAGCUUUCCAGCCACUCUUUCCCCAGCUGUAGUGCUGCAUGGGGUUGUUGUGAUCCAAGUGCAGGACCCAGUACUUCACCUUGUUGAAUCUCAGCGAUAUGGUAUGGGAUGUAUUCUGAAAACUGUAUCUCACAUUAGUGCUUUACAAAUGUGGGAAAUUUCAGAUUCCUCCGUUUCUACUGUCCUAGGUACAUAAGAAAUGGAUCAGACCAGUGGUCCACCUAACCCUCUACACUCCAUCGCUGAGCGCAGCAGUGGGAGAGUGCACAGGAGCCUUGCCACCUCCCGAGUUCUUUCCCUCACACAUCAGCAUAACCCACACUCUUUGUAUUACAGGGCACAUCCCUGCUCCUUUUCUUUAGUAUCUGAAUCAUGGAAUCAUAGAUUCAUAGAAUCUUAAUAUCAUGAUCUGGCUGUCAGACUACUGGCCAUGAAUUUGUCUAGCCUCACUUGAGGCUGCUGAUGUCAUCUGCCCCAUAGUUCCCUGUGGCAACAGAAGUUCACUGCCCACUGUGUAAAGAUGUACUUUCUCAAAUAUGCUUUAAGAUGCUCUAUCCCUCAUUUCAGUGAAUUUCCCUAAUUCCAUUAUUGCAGGUUUUGGUGAUUAGCAGUUCAGUUUAACUAACAUUUACAUGACUUUUUAAAUUACCCUUAGUUCCAGACUGAAGAGUUCUGUAUUUUCACAGUAUGUUUAGCCUCUGGAAAGGGAAGAAUGGGAGGUUUUAAGCCUGUCACCUUUUAUUUUGUCCCACUUCCCACUCCAGCAUGGUCAUCCUUUCCUCUCAUUUUAAGUGUAAUGGAAAAACAGAUAGCACCUACAACUACAGGGGAGUGGGAGGCAGGGGUUGAUAAAGAAGUUUGACUUUGCCUCUGGUUGUGGGACAGCCCACAACCUUGUUAUAUGCAAGAGCCUUGCUGUUGACAAGGCUCUUGCAUGUAAACCAAGCUCUGUAACUAAUCUCUGCAAACAACCAUCCCCAUAGGACUGUUAUUCUCACAGGGUUUGUGAAAAGGCAGUUCAUUAAACCCAGAAUGUUGACAAAUGUAUCAAUGAGAGGCUCAGUGAUCUUUCUGCUUCCACACUGACUGCUGGGGCUGGAAGCUGCUCAUGAUGGUGCUGGUGUAAAGCAGCUUCUUCAAGGAUGACAAGUGAGACUCCUCAGCAAUAGAUCACCUUUUGAAAGUCCAUCAUUUGAAGAUGGAUGUGCCUCUUUGUCUUUACAAAUUUUUUAAACUGCUAGUGCUUAACACUGUCUAACAUGUGCUUCGUAAUAUAUAUUUGGCCAAUUUUCCGCUUGCCAGUCUGGAAAAUCAGCACACAAUCAUCUUUCAAUAUUGGGUUUUGUACACAGCUAAUGUUAAUGGAAAAUAGGGGACUGUUAACAAAGACAAAGAGCAUGAGCUGACAUUAUUUCCUUCAAGCUUCAUUCAGCAGGAAUGCCCUGUCAAGUGGAGCACAUUAUUCCCAAAAGCAUUUUGAAAAUGGGUGGGUGAACAUCCUCUAUCAUUCUGUAAUACUUGUUAAAUAUCAACAAUUUUGUUGGGAGGGAUGUAGACAUGGAGGGUGUAGCUGGAGAAUUGACACUCCCAAGCAAAGGGUAAUGCAACAAUAAUGUUUUGGUUAGCUCUUUGUAAAAUAAAUAAAUAACAGUUUAAGUGGGUGAAAAGCUAGACAGAGCCUGGCCUAAGUUUACAGCUGAAAUGUAUGCACAUGGAAAAUAGAGGACAGAGUCCUCUGCAAGCAAAAUUAUCUGCCUGUAUUUGCCAUUGGAUCUGCAGUACAUAAUUUACAGAAGCAAGUGUCUUACAAAUGUUUCCUUAAUGGUUUCCUUAACUAUUCUAAUUAAUGAGAACCUGGUAGGUAGCUUCAGCCAUUGGAGAACUCAAGUGAUGUGUUUCUACUCCUGCCUUGUCUUCAGAAAUUCCAUAAGACAAGAAAUCAAGAAUAAAAUACAGUGAUGAGGAAGAAGCCAGUGACUAGAACUUGAAGGAAAAUAAUAAAUACAAGAAUUAUCAUGAUUCAAAAUGUAGGUACAGUGCUGGAAAAAGGCACUACUCCCAAGAACAGAGGGGAAAGUUUACUAUCUUACUGCCUGGCAUGACUAGUUGUGCUGUGGAUGUCUUCCUUUUUUUGCUGGUCAUAGUGACAAGAGAACAAAACUUGACCCUUUUCAUUCUUUAUAUAUUAAGCUAUAACCUCACAUUUUGAAAACAGAAGAGAAUAACGUAUUACUUGGUAAUCUAAUAUCAAAUUAUGAGCAAAUUCAUUCAGGAAUAAACUAAAGUCCUACUGAACCCAAAUUGCUGCUUAACUGAAUGAGCUAUGAAAAUAUAAUUAUGUUUUGGGAGUUCAUCUUGUCUUUCUGAAUAACUCUAAAUAUAGAUUUCACAAAUCAGUUCAUAAAUUGUUUUGCUUUUCUUCUUUUUUUGAACUUUCCUAAGUCAAGUAAUGCAACAGUACCUGAGAGUAUGCACACUAUAGCAGUGCUAUAACACUAGAGAUGCAAGUUCAUGUUUCUUUUCUUAAUGUCAUUCUAGAAAAAGUACUCCAAUAUGUUAUAGAAUACUAGGGCACCAUUGCUUUGCCAUGAAAUUUGGUUGUCUGAAUCAACUAGGUGACAUCAAGGAUUUGCAGCUAAAUGCAAAUCAAUACAAAGGUGGAAGAUAAUAGCACAAGAAGUGGUUUGUUAGAGGGAGAAGUUUGGGUCACAGGUUUUCAAAUACUGAGGUUCUGUUGUGUAAUUAAUCUUCCUCUUCCCAAUGCAGAGCAUGUAUUUGCUUUAAAAUAAUACUAUCCAUUUUUUCUCUAGGUAGAAAAGUAUUCAUGGUGGGAGUCAAAAGAAGCUAACAAGGUUGAUAUAAAAUAGAAGCUCAGUAGAUGGAGACACUUCACACUGAAAUGUAUGCAACAGAGUCCCAACAAAGGAAGAUAUUUUACUCCACGCAAAGUCAAAGUCAGCCAAGUACGGAUGACACCUGAUCUGGCAGUGUGACAUUUCCUUCCUUGAAAAGUCAUAGAGUCUCUGAAAUAACUCCAGGACUAUGUGGCAGCCUAUCACUGUCAUAUCAUUGGAGUAUGAAACUGGAGGGUUUGUAUUGUGUUCUCCGGGAAGCAAAAGGGUACAAAGCCUAUUAGAAGACUUUGCUGGGAGUUGAAUCUGAUAGUCUCUUUCUAACUGACUGCUAGAUUAGAUUUCUGGAUUGAACUACUCCCAAAACUGCAUCUGGGUUUUCAUCUUGCAGAGAAUAAGAUAGAGUGGUCAAAUGCAGAGCCAAGGGUAAGCUGACAAACAAUUACAUAUCCAUGCAGGCACUUCCCUAUCAUGCCAGAGUUGCUUAGUUUCCUCAAAAUUUUUAAUAGGACUACCAUGGGGUCUGGUGUUAAAGCUCACUUCCUGGCCCUGUGUGUUUACCAGAGUACAGGUAUGUCUACAAGACCUAGUGUGUCUACAAAACAGAUUGUAGAGAUUUUUUUCUUAUAUCGGUACCAGAAUCUUAGCCAGUUUUUCUUUGUUUCUAUAAACCUUUACAACUGUGCUUUACAUUUGGAAUUAGUAAUUUAUCUCUUUCUUUUGACUUAAGUACCACAGUAACUAGCUAAAAGACAGUGAUCCCACACCUCUCUUAUUUAGCAAGAUAUUCCCUUAGGUUGGUAAAGAGGCAACAAAUCGUUUACUUGGUAUUUUAGCAACUGUCCCACUUUCCUAAGACAGCCAAAGGAAAAAGGAUUGUAUCCCCAUGGUAGCUGCAAGAGCUGCUUUGAGACUUUGCAUCACAAAGAUUAGGAAAGGAACUAGUGUGUUCCAGUCACUGUCUAGAUUGUAGCAAGGUAAUAGAUGCUGAUCCUGAAU